rnacentral:rRNA from 1 species
UUAAUUGAAGAGUUUGAUCAUGGCUCAGAUUGAACGCUGGCGGCAGGCCUAACACAUGCAAGUCGAGCGGUAACAGAGAGGUGCUUGCACCUUUGCUGACGAGCGGCGGACGGGUGAGUAAUGCUUGGGAAUAUGCCUUUUGGUGGGGGACAACAGUUGGAAACGACUGCUAAUACCGCAUGAUGUCUACGGACCAAAGUGGGGGACCUUCGGGCCUCACGCCAAAAGAUUAGCCCAAGUGGGAUUAGCUAGUUGGUAAGGUAAUGGCUUACCAAGGCGACGAUCCCUAGCUGGUUUGAGAGGAUGAUCAGCCACACUGGGACUGAGACACGGC